UGCUGUGACAAGGAUACAAACCUGGGUUAUUGCGGCCACAACACAUUGUUCUAACCACUAGACAAUCACAGC